UACGGUCGUAUCACGUUGAUGCACCGAUUCUCGUUCGAUCUCCAAAGUUAAGCAACAUCGAACCUGGUCAGUACUAGAUGGGAGAUUGCAUGGGAAUAACAGGUGGUGAAA